AUAUUCUAAAUAAAGCAUUGAAAUGUGCAUGCAUAUGUUAUAUGAAUGAGAUAGGAAUAGAAAGGAAACCGUGAAAGAGAGCAGUUGAAGGAAGAGAAAUAAGAAAUGUUUGUGUGUGCAUAUAUUCUUUUUUGACAUAUGAGACUAUAUUAAAAAUUGUUAUGAAGACUCUUUUGCACAUCUACGGAUCCCUUGUAAUAAUUCUUGUGCUAUUUGGCCCCAUUCAUGCAAAAACAGACAGUUACUGGGAUUCUGUCAAUGCUGUCCAAGAAAACUUUAACUUUUACAAGUUUUUCAAUAUAUCAAACAAUGCAUCUCUUCAUGAAAUUCAAAAGGCUUUCCGGAUAAUCUCUAUGAAAUACCAUCCGGAUCGUAGCAAUAAUAAACAAGAUACCAAUAUAUAUGUUCGCGCGAAUACAGCUUUACAAAUACUCUCAGAUGAAGCUAAAAGACAGGAAUAUGAUCAAUUACUGAAUAAUGGUAUUCCCUUUUUCGAAUCAUAUAGGAUCAGAACUUAUCGUGCUCCUUCAAUUGACUCUCGUUUGGUAAUAUUGGGCAUUGUACUGAUUCUUACUGCAGUAUUGCAUAUCCUCAAAUGGAGCAAUUAUCAUUACAUUAUACAAACGGUGAAAAAAUCCCAUUUUUACAAAACGAAACAAAAUCUGCUAAAUCAAAAAGUCAAGGCUAAGAAAUCUGCAGCAGAAUCUGAAGAAGAACAGGGGUUAGAGCCCGACAUCAACAUCUAUAUUGAAGGCGCAGAAAGACCAACUGUGUAUGAUUUGCUGCCCAUUCUCAUCCUGAGAGUCAUUUAUCGCGUCAUAACGUCAAUUUUCAGGAAAAAAGUAAGCAAAGUCGAGAGCUUCAGACGGUUCAUGGAAAAGCGUGAUGCCAGACCCUAUACAUUAAAAGAUGCCAUUUUAGAAUUAAGAGACUUAGAGCAGCAGAGGAAGAAAUUUUUAAAUAGUACAAAAUUCAAAAGAGUUUUGCGAUAUCAAAAAAAAAACAUGAAAUAAAAGUCAUAUGGAACGUUAAAAAUGCGUUAUGAGAAAUGAUGCCAGUGGUUUUGCUAAAAAAAAAAUCAAAGACGUUUAAUGAUAAUGGAAGAUGAACCGCCACCGCCAUUACAUAUGGCUGCGGCUCCAUAAUUUCCCCCCGUCUGAGAUAGAGAAUGAAUCAAUGUAGCAACGAUACGACAUCCGCUUGCACCGAUUGGAUGUCCUAGCGCCACAGCACCGCCAUGAACAUUCAAUCUAUCGAUUGGGAUUUCCAGUCGCUUUGAGUUAGCCAAAGGAACCGUACAAAAGGCCUCAUUGAUUUCCCAAAGAUCGAUGUCGCAGACACCCAAACCGACCAUUUUAAGAGCGUUCGACAAAGAAAUACUAGGUGCAAUAGUGAAAUCAAUGGGUCUCGUGGCUCCAUCUGCAUGGCCUAGAAUCUGUGCCAACGGUUUAAGAUUUAACUCUGAAGCCUUCCGAGAACUCAUGAGAAGCAAAGCACUAGCCCCGUCACUGAUUUUAGAUGAAUUGGCAGCAGUAGCUGUUCCAUUUUCCGAAAAUUCUGCUCUGAGUUUAUGAACCUUCUCUGGAACCAAACGGCCAAUUUCUUCAUCUUCUAUAAUUGUACGGGAAGGUUCUUGACGUUUAACAGAUGGAACUGCAAUUGGAAUAAUUUCAUCUCGAAACAGUCCCUUUUUUGUAGCCUCCUGUGCCCUCGAAUACGAAAGAAGCGCAUAUUUGUCUUGAUCUUCCCUAGUAAUGUUGAAUGAACGUGCUGUCUCAUCUGACGCCAAUCCCAUUGGAUAAUGAUCGAAAGCAUCGCUGAGACCGUCACGAACCAACCCAUCUAUAAGUUUUUGGUUCCCAAACCUAAAGCCGUUAAACCUCGCCUUUUCCAAGUAGUAUGGCACGUUUGACAUAGAUUCAAACCCACCUGCAACUACCACAUCAAACUGACCCAGUUGAAUUGAUUGAACGCCAUAUAUAAUCGAUUUAAGGCCAGACGCGCACACUUUAUUAAUUGUCGUGGCGUCGACGUGGUUCGGAAUUCCAGCAGCUAAUUGUACCUGGCGCGCCGGUGACUGACCAAGAUUCGCCUGGCAUACAUUCCCUAAAAUCACGCUCUCAACGAUAGAAGGAUCGAGACCUAAUAAAAUUCAAAUUAGGGUAGUAAA